GACGAACCGAGCGAACGUUGUUCGGAAUCACUGGGCGUAAAGCGCACGUAGGCGGCUUUUUAAGUCAGGGGUGAAAUCCUGGAGCUCAACUCCAGAACUGCCUUUGAUACUGAGAAGCUUGAGUCCGGGAGAGGUGAGUGGAACUGCGAGUGUAGAGGUGAAAUUCGUAGAUAUUCGCAAGAACACCAGUGGCGAAGGCGGCUCACUGGCCCGAUACUGACGCUGAGGCACGAAAGCGUGGGGAGCAAACAGG
rnacentral:rRNA from 1 species